AAGGAUCUUCCUCUAAUUCUUCUCAGCAACUGGUAUAGAAGAAAAGCAAGGGUCUCACAAGAAACAAGGUGAGAGCCUAAUGAUAACCUAAGGGUGAUGUCCCAGUUACUCUUGCCAUGUAACAAAUUAUCCUAGCAUUUACUGGCUUAAUGCAGCAACAUUUUUUUUUUCUCACAAAUCUGCAAUAUGAGCUAGACUGAUAGAGACAACUCCUUUGCUUUACUUGGUGUCAGCUGGGACAACAGCUUGAAGGCUGGGUCUGGAGUCAUUUCUACUCACAUGUCUGGCAGUUAAUUCUGGGAGGUAGGAGGACUCAAGCAGCUGGGGACUGGAAAUGGGGAGGCUCCUCAUGAAUCUGUCUCUGUGUGGUUUCUGCAGCAUGGUGGCUAUACAUAGCUGGACUUCUUACAUCUUGGCUCAGGGCCCCCAAGACACAUUUCCCAAAAGGAAGUGGAAACAGGUAGAAGCUUAUUUCUUCUUAUGACUUAGCCUCAUAAGUCAUGCAGCAUCCUUUCCACCACAUUUUCAUUCAUGGAGGCAGCCACAAAGGCUCACCCCUCUUCCUGGGGAGGGGAAUUAGACUUGACCUUUCAAUAAAAAACUCUAAGGUUCUGAAGGGUAUGUAGAUCUGCAAAUAUUGCUGUGGCCAUUUUUGGAAAAUAUAGUUUGCCCCAGGUGAUCAAAUGAGACAGCCAUACAAUUAGCAGCUGAGACUGUGGAACAUCAGAACAGCCAUGGAGGGGCCACAUAGUGCUCACAAUAGGCAAGUGAAUUCAAAAAGAAUGAGGUGACCAUCUGCAAGUCCAUAAGUACCAACCCCAUCCCUGCCAUCAAGGAAGGAAAGCAUUCUGGCAGCUGGAGUUUCAGGGAUGAGAUCUGAGUAAAUGUCACACCAUUCUGGCCCCUAGGAUUAUCCUUUUCUCUGCUGGGGGGCCUGGGAAAUGUGGAUUACACAUCUGUGGUAUUAAUGAGAACAUGAGAGAUGCUGAUCAAAGCUAUGGACACUCAAAACUGAGAGGAAUGUCAAAUGACAGAUCUGGUUUCUCACUAUAGCUGCCAACACCUCUCAGAUCCCAGUUCCAGAAAAAGAGGACAACUAUCUGUUUUUAAACCUAACAGUACGAGAAGAGUCCUUCAAGUCAAUUGUAUCUUCUACUACUCUACAGGACUCAACAUAAUCAUCACUGAAUCCAUUUCUUCUGAUUGCCAGGCACUGUGCUAGGUGCUGGGAUAUAUAAGAGAGCUUUUUAACAAAAAUGCAUACACCUAAUUAGCCAGCAAGCAAGACUAACAAAGGAUGAAUCAUUGGCCAGUAAGAAAUCUUAAAUAUGUUAGUUAAAUAUGGAAAGCUGAGUUCAUUUACCACAGAAGGAGCACUCACAAUUAAAUUAUGACAGUGGCUGGGCGCGAUGGUUCAUGCCUGUAAUCCCAGCGCUUUGGGAGGCCCAGGCAGGCAGAUCGUGAGGUCAGGAGUUCGAGACCAGCCCGACCAACAUGGUGAAACCCCGUCUCUAUUAAAAAUAUAAAAAUUAGCUGGGCAUGGUGGUGCACGCCUGUAAUCCCAGCUACUCAGGAGGCUGAUGAAGGGGAAUCACUUGAGCCCAGGAGGCGGAGGUUGCAGUGAACCAAGACCACAAGAUCGCACCACCACACUCCAGCCUGGGUGACAAAGCGAGACUCCGUCUCAAAAAAAAAAAAAAAA
rnacentral:lncRNA from 1 species